GACGAACGUUGGCGGCGUGCUUAAUACAUGCAAGUCAACUGAAGCAGUGGUAGCAAUAUCGCUGUGGAGGUGGCGCACGGGUGAGUAACACGUAGGUAAUCUGCCUUCAGGUCUGGCAUAACUCCGGGAAACCGGGGCUAAUAGCAGAUGAUGCAGCGGCUCGACAUCGAGACAGUUGUUAAAGCUAUGGCGCCUGAAGAUGAGCCUGCGUCUGAUUAGCUAGUUGGCGGGGUAACGGCCCACCAAGGCAACGAUCAGUAGCUGGUCUGAGAGGAUGAUCAGCCACACUGGAACUGAGACACGGUCCAGACUCCUACGGGAGGCAGCAGUAAGGAAUAUUGCUCAAUGGGAGAAAUCCUGAAGCAGCAACGCCGCGUGAGGGACGAAGGGCUUUUGCUUGUAAACCUCUGUAGUGAGAGAAAAAAAUCCCAAUCUUUGGGACAUGAUGGUAUCUCAAAAGUAAGCCCCGGCUAACUAUGUG
rnacentral:rRNA from 1 species